rnacentral:rRNA from 1 species
UACGAAGGGACUAGCGUUGUUCGGAUUUACUGGGCGUAAAGCGCGCGUAGGCGGAUAUCUAAGUCAGAAGGUGAAAUCCCCGGGCUCAACCCGGGAACUGCGUCCGAUACUGGGAGGCUUGAAUCCGGGAGAGGGAUGUGGAAUUCCAGGUGUAGCGGUGAAAUGCGUAGAUAUCUGGAGGAACACCGGUGGCGAAGGCGGCAUCCUGGACCGGUAGUUGACGCUGAGGCGCGGAAAGCCAGG